AAAAAAGGACAGUCGGAAGAAAU
rnacentral:piRNA from 1 species